rnacentral:rRNA from 1 species
GGGGAAUUUUUGGACAAUGGGCGAAAGCCUGAUCCAGCAAUGCCGCGUGUGUGAAGAAGGCCUUCGGGUUGUAAAGCACUUUUUGUCCGGAAAGAAAUCCUUGGCUCUAAUACAGUCGGGGGAUGACGGUACCGGAAGAAUAAGCACCGGCUAACUACGUGCCAGCAGCCGCGGUAAUACGUAGGGUGCAAGCGUUAAUCGGAAUUACUGGGCGUAAGCGUGCGCAGGCGGUUUGCUAAGACCGAUGUGAAAUCCCCGGGGCUAACCUGGGAACUGCAUUGGUGACUGGCAGGCUAGAGUAUGGCAGAGGGGGGUAGAAUUCCACGUGUAGCAGUGAAAUGCGUAGAGAUGUGGAGGAAUACCGAUGGGCGAAAGGCAGCCCCCCUGGGGCCAAAUACUGACGCUCAUGCACGAAAAGCGUGGGGAGCAAACAGGAUUAGAUACCCUGGUAGUCCACGCCCUAAACGAUGUCAACUAGUUGUUGGGGGACUUCAUUUUCCUUAGUAACGUAGCUAACGCGUGAAGUUGACCGCCUGGGGAGUACGUCGCAAGAUUAAAACUCAAAGGAAUUGACGGGGUCAUAGCUGUUUCCU